UACGAAGGUGGCAAGCGUUGUUCGGAUUUACUGGGCGUACAGGGAGCGUAGGCGGUUGGGUAAGCCCUCCGUGAAAUCUCCGGGCCUAACCCGGAAAGUGCGGAGGGGACUGCCCGGCUAGAGGAUGGGAGAGGAGCGCGGAAUUCCCGGUGUAGCGGUGAAAUGCGUAGAGAUCGGGAGGAAGGCCGGUGGCGAAGGCGGCGCUCUGGAACAUUUCUGACGCUGAGGCUCGAAAGCGUGGGGAGCAAACAGG
rnacentral:rRNA from 1 species